CACGGAGUUAGCCGGUGCUUCUUCUGUAGGUAACGUCAAUUGCGCAGGUAUUAACUACGCACCUUUCCUCCCUACUGAAAGUGCUUUACAACCCGAAGGCCUUCUUCACACACGCGGCAUUGCUGGAUCAGGGUUCCCCCCAUUGUCCAAUAUUCCCCACUGCUGCCUCCCGUAGGAGUCUGGGCCGUGUCUCAGUCCCAGUGUGGCUGAUCAUCCUCUCAGACCAGCUAUGGAUCGUCGCCUUGGUAGGCCUUUACCCACCAACUUAGCUAAUCCAACAUGGGCUCAUCUCUUGCCGCGAGGCCUUUCGGUCCCCCGCUUUCACCCUUAGGUCUUAUGCGGUAUUAGCGUAAGUUUCCCUACGUUACUCCCCCAGCAAAAGGCAGAUUCCAUGCGUUACUCACCCGUCCGCCACUCGACGCCUGGACGCAAGCCUCCAUUCCGUUUCCGUUCGUACUUGCAUGUGUUAACGCAUCGCCCGCGACGCCGUUCAAUCCUGACGCAGGACUACGUAAACUCGUACCG
rnacentral:rRNA from 1 species